rnacentral:rRNA from 1 species
CCUACGGGAGGCAGCAGUGGGGAAUAUUGCACAAUGGGGGAAACCCUGAUGCAGCGACGCCGCGUGAGUGAAGAAGUAAUUCGGUAUGUAAAGCUCUAUCAGCAGGGAAGAAAAUGACGGUACCUGAGUAAGAAGCCCCGGCUAACUACGUGCCAGCAGCCGCGGUAAUACGUAGGGGGCAAGCGUUAUCCGGAUUUACUGGGUGUAAAGGGAGCGUAGACGGCAGUGCAAGUCUGGAGUGAAAGGCGGGGGCUCAACCCCCGGACUGCUCUGGAAACUGUACGGCUGGAGUGCAGGAGAGGUAAGUGGAAUUCCUAGUGUAGCGGUGAAAUGCGUAGAUAUUAGGAGGAACACCAGUGGUGAAGGCGGCUUACUGGACUGUAACUGACGUUGAGGCUCGAAAGCGUGGGGAGCAAACAGGAUUAGAUACCCCUGUAGUC